AUGGAUUAUUAUUUAUUUUUGCGAGAAAGCUUGUACGGAUCAGGCGGCUACUCAUAUUUGCACGGCUCAUGGAUGGAUGCAGGGGAGCAUCACCUGGACGACGCUGUGCCGGUCAUGGUGCCGCAGGUGUCCGGCGCGCAGUCUUGGGAGCCCAUCCACGGCGUGCUCCUGUGCGAGUGUGAAGAAGACAUGGACAACUCCAUGUACCGUGGCGACGACGAUCUGUCACCUUUGCAGCUGAUCGAGUUCAUGAGGCACCUCCAGCCGUUCGACACCAGCGCGGACUACGACCUAGACUCCAUCGAACUCCUGGUGCGCCGCUGCGUCGAGCGCAACAUCCCGGUCCUCGGCAUCUGCCGUGGCUCCCAUGUGCUCAACGUUGCCUGCGGCGGCUCGCUCUACCAGAACGUUGAGCAGGAGCUCAAACGGGUCAUCGACUACCGCGACAAUCAUGGGCACUGGCACCCGGUGCGCAUCCUUCCCGGGACACCGCUGCACUACUGGUUCGAGCACGGUGAAGAUAAUGAAGUGAUUACGGUGAGCAGCUACCACCACCAGGGAGUGCGGCAGCUGGCGAAGCGGUUCGUGCCGAUGGCAUUGACGCCGGACGGGCUGGUGGAAGGGUUCUAUGACCCCGACGCCUACUGCCCCGGAGAGGGCAAGUUCAUCAUGGGGCUCCAGUUCCAACCGGAACGCAUGCGCAAGGCCGGCAAGUUAGACCACACCGGCUGCCCAGAGGUCUACUAG
rnacentral:rRNA from 1 species